rnacentral:rRNA from 1 species
AUUGAACGCUGGCGGCAUGCUUUACACAUGCAAGUCGAACGGUAACAGGGUGCUUGCACCGCUGACGAGUGGCGAACGGGUGAGUAAUGCGUCGGAACGUGCCGAGUAGUGGGGGACAACGCAGCGAAAGUCGUGCUAAUACCGCAUACGUACUGAGGUAGAAAGUGGGGGACCUUCGGGCCUCACGCUAUUCGAGCGGCCGACGUCUGAUUAGCUAGUAGGUGAGGUAAAGGCUCACCUAGGCGACGAUCAGUAGCGGGUCUGAGAGGAUGAUCCGCCACACUGGGACUGAGACACGGCCCAGACUCCUACGGGAGGCAGCAGUGGGGAAUUUUGGACAAUGGGCGAGAGCCUGAUCCAGCCAUGCCGCGUGUCUGAAGAAGGCCUUCGGGUUGUAAAGGACUUUUGUCAGGGAGGAAAUCCCUAGUGCUAAUAACACUGGGGGAUGACAGUACCUGAAGAAUAAGCACCGGCUAACUCUGUGCCAGCCGCCGCGGUAA